UACAGAGGUCCCAAGCGUUGUUCGGAUUCACUGGGCGUAAAGGGUGCGUAGGUGGCAAGGUAAGUUUGAUGUGAAAUCUCCGGGCUUAACCCGGAAAUGGCAUUGAAUACUAUCUAGCUAGAGGUUUGGAGGGGGGACUGGAAUUCUCGGUGUAGCAGUGAAAUGCGUAGAUAUCGAGAGGAACACCAGUGGCGAAGGCGAGUCCCUGGACAACACCUGACACUGAGGCACGAAAGCUAGGGGAGCAAACAGG
rnacentral:rRNA from 1 species